GAUGAACGCUGGCGGCGUGCUUAACACAUGCAAGUCGAACGAAGCAUUCAGGACUGAUUACUUCGGUUUGAAGUUCUUUAUGACUGAGUGGCGGACGGGUGAGUAACGCGUGGGUAACCUGCCUUGUACUGGGGGAUAGCAGUUGGAAACGGCUGGUAAUACCGCAUAAGCGCCCAAUGUUGCAUGACAUGGUGUGAAAAAGACAGGCGGUAUAAGAUGGACCCGCGUCUGUUUAGCUAGUUGGUGAGGUACCAGCCUACCAAGGCGACGAUCAGUAGCCGAGCUGGGAGGGUGAACCAGCACAAUUGGAAUGAGGCCCGGCCCAGGAUCCUACGGGGGGGAGGAGGGGGGAAUAAUGCACAAAGGAGCAAACGCCGAUUCAGCCACGGCGCGGGGGGGGAGAAGUGAGUCGUUAUGGAAAGGUCUAUCUGCAGGGGAGAUAGUGACGGUAACUGGCUAAGAAGCUCCGGCUAACUACGUG
rnacentral:rRNA from 1 species